AGUGAACGCUGGCGGUAGGCCUAACACAUGCAAGUCGAACGGCAGCACAGGAGAGCUUGCUCUCUGGGUGGCGAGUGGCGGACGGGUGAGGAAUACAUCGGAAUCUACUUUUUCGUGGGGGAUAACGUAGGGAAACUUACGCUAAUACCGCAUACGACCUACGGGUGAAAGCAGGGGACCUUCGGGCCUUGCGCGAUUGAAUGAGCCGAUGUCGGAUUAGCUAGUUGGCGGGGUAAAGGCCAACCAAGGCGACGAUCCGUAGCUGGUCUGUGAGGAUGAUCAGCAAAACUGGAACUGAGACACGGUCCAGGUUCCUACGGGAGGCAGCAGUGGGGGAUAUUGGACAAUGGGCGCAAGCCUGAUCCAGCCAUACCGCGUGGGUGAAGAAGGCCUUCGGGUUGUAAAGCCCUUUUGUUGGGAAAGAAAUCCAGCUGGCUAAUACCCGGUUGGGAUGACGGUACCCAAAGAAUAAGCACCGGCUAACUUCGUGCCAGCCGCCGCCGUAA
rnacentral:rRNA from 1 species